UACGUAGGGGGCUAGCGUUGUCCGGAAUCAUUGGGCGUAAAGCGCGUGUAGGCGGCCCGGUAAGUCCGCUGUGAAAGUCCAGGGCUCAACCCUGGGAUGCCGGUGGAUACUGUCGGGCUCGAGUCCGGAAGAGGCGAGUGGAAUUCCUGGUGUAGCGGUGAAAUGCGCAGAUAUCAGGAGGAACACCAAUUGCGAAGGCAGCUCGCUGGGACGUUACUGACGCUGAGACGCGAAAGCGUGGGGAGCAAACAGG
rnacentral:rRNA from 1 species